AGUUAAUUUUAUUUAUCAUAAAAAUAAAAUGAAUUUUAAAAUAUUUAUAUAUAAUAAUUUAAUUGAUGUAAAAUAAUUCUACAAUAAUUCUACAAGAAAAUUAUAUAACAAAAUAGUUACCUUCGAAUAAGUGAACAACAUAUAUAUAACAGGUUAGUUCAAGUAGUUAUGGCUUGGAAGAUGAAACCUAAAGUGGAGGGCUCUAACAACACUUAUCACAGUUAACCUAGUGAUGUAGAACAAGAAGAAACUAA
rnacentral:misc_RNA from 1 species